GGGAACUCUGCAAAUUCUAUUCUUUUUCUCAUUAUACAAUCAAGGAUCUAAGAGGUAUAAGGAAAUUUGGUAACUUGUGCAAAGUCGUAAUGAAUGAUGAAAUUGGAAGUUGCAAAUGGUAUUUGUGUACCCAUAAUCUUUGUGCAAUAACUAUAAUAAUUCAGUAGCUUAUUGAGCCCAUUUUAUGUGCAAGGCCCUACAUCAUGUUGUAGGGCAGACAUUCUCAAGGUGUGUUCUGGAACUAGUGGCUACAGUGUCACCUGGGAAAUUCUAGAAAUGCAAAUUUUUGGCCUUACCCUGGACCUGCCACAUCAGUAACUCUAUGGUGAGACCCAGCAAACUGGGAUUUAACAAGUCUUCCUCAUGAUUCUGAUGCCUACUGAAGGUGGAGUACCACUGUGAUAGGGCCUAAAUAGAUAAGUGAGACUUAUUUAAGGUUGGAAGAAGGUAAAGCAGGUAUAAAAAUAAUAUUGAGUUUGAGUUUGCUGCCAGAAUUUCUGAUUUUUCAAGAGAAGCUGGAAUCCAGAUUUUAAUGGGAAAUUUCUCAGCUUGAUAAUUGAAGCCAAAGUAAAUUAAAAAACAAAAACAGGCAAAGUAAAACCUGUCUGCAAGGCAGGCAGCAGCCUUGGAGCCAUGCUGAAGACCAUAGAGAGGCACAGAAGUCUUCAGUGGUCUGCCCAGAGCAGCCCAGGAGUUAAUUUACCUACAGGCAUUGUGGGAACUAGACUAGACAAUAAGACACUAGCUCAGUGUAUUGAUUUGCUAGGGCUGCAAACAAAGUACUACCACCAAGUGACUUAAUCAAUAGAUGUUGAUUCUUUCACCGUUUGUAGGCUAGAAGCUUAAUAAUUUAGGUGUGGGCAGACCUGGUUUCUUUCGAAAGCUCUGAGAGAGAAUCUGUUCAUUGCUCUCUUAAAUUCUAGGAUCCCCAAGCAUUCCUUGGUUUGAAGAUGCACAUUCUAACCCUCUGUCUUCACAUGGCAUUCUCCCAGUCUUCACAUGGCUCUCUUCUUCUAAGGAUACCCGUCACAUUGGAUUAGGGGCCCAUCCUAUUCCAUCAUAACCUCAUCUUAAUGAAUUACAUCUGCAGUGACCCUAUUUUCAAAUAAGGUCACCUACUGAGAUAGUGGGGGUUAGGACUUCAACAUGUAUUUUUCUUGCAAGUGGGGGGCAAUAAUUUAAUCUAUAAUAUUCAUUUUUAGGUGGCAUAAUUCAAUAGCUAAGGUCUUUGUCUUCCUUAUAAGUAGAGGCUAAUUCAUUAAUUUUUUAUUGUUUCUUUCUAGGGGCAUAGUUAAGAAGAUAUGAUAUGCCUUAAUGAAAUGUUAUAGCCAACGUGUAGAUAUUUGAGGUCUCUGAAAUCAAUUGAAAUGUCAACAAACUGAGACAUGGCGCUGAUGGUCUCAAAUUUCUUUCAAAGCAUCAAAGUGCUCAGGAUAAAACAAAACAAACAAACAAAAAAAACAACCAACCAACCACACAAAAGUUAUCCAAGAAGAAAGGAACCAGACUGCUGGACUUGGCCAAGAAUAAAUGGAACUAGAGUUUCAACAUCUUCCUACCCUGUAAAGUUGCAAAUCUGUAGCCUUUGAAAACUGUGAAGAUGGGAAAUGUAGCAAACUGAAUUGAACAUUUACCAACAAUUGUUUGGAGAAUUCUCCUGCGUUUUUGGGCAUUAGGAACUGAGGCUGAGAGAGGUUAAGUAACUUUCUGAAGGUCACAUAGCUGGUAAGUGCUGGAGCUGGGAUUUUGAUGCCAGACCCAUACUUAUAAUCACUAUGCUUAUAUCAUCUCCCUAAAGAACUUUAUCAUCACUUUGUGAAAUGAGUUUUGCAAGGCCAGCCCUCUGUGAGUCUGCUUCCUCCUGGGCAGACUGCCUCUUCAUCUGGGCUGUGAGAUGAAUGGCUACACCUGGUCAUGACUGGCCAACCAGCUAAGCUUAUUCCAAGUAUAAAUAACUAGAUAAGAGGGACUGAGGUUAGCUGAGAAUAGGAAUGUAAGACAUGAGCUGGAAUGGACAGUACAGAUCAUAACCAUUUUGUUUUAUGUAAGAGUAGUUUGCUAGUACACCCGUGUUCAUAGCAGCAUUAAUCAUAGUAGCCAAGAGAUAGAAGCAACCCAAGUGUCCACAACAGGUGAGUGGAUAAACAAAAUGUGGUAUAUACAUGCAAUGAAAUGUUAUUCAGCCAUAAAAAGGAGGGAAGGAAAUUCUAAUAUGCUGUAACAUGGAUAAACCUUGAGGACUUAAAGUUACAUGAAACAAGCCAGUCACAAAAGAGGAAUACUGCAUGACUCCUCUUACCUGCAGUGUCUAAAGAAGUCAGAGUCAUAGAAACAAAAAGUAGAAUAGUGGUUGCCAAGGGCAGGUGGAGGGGGAAAUGGGGAGUUGUUGUUUAAUAGGUACAGAGUUGCAGUUUUGCAAGAUGAAAAAUUUCUGGAAUUUGUUGGACAGCAAUGUGAAUAUCCUUUUACUGAAUUGUACACUUAAAAAUUCUUAAGAUGGUAAAUUUUAUGUUAUGUAUAUUUUAUCGUAAAAAACAAACAUUCCCCAAUAAUGAUCAGUGAACUGAAAUUAGAUCUUAAAACCAAAAUGACAUUACUGUCACAGAACUAAAAAAAAGGUUUGCAAUGUCUCGUUAUGUGAAGAAUUGCAGUCAUAGAUUUUGUUAUUUUUCUUGAAUGUUAACCUAUUACCCUGAGUUUAUGGUGCAUCUAUAGGGGUUAAAGAAUAUGAUAAUUGUACCUACAACAUAGGAAAUAUAUAAUACAUUUAAGGUGUUAACAUAGUAAUUGCACAAUAAAUCUUAUUGCUUUUGCUCUCUUGAAAAAUAAAAUAUUUGGAGAAAUGCAAAUAAAUAAUUUGCUAGUUGUUAUGAGAAAUACAUAGUUUUUCAAAAUUAAUGACACCUAACAGUGAAUAACAAUCUACCAGACCUCUUUCAGCUCUAAAACUCUGCAAACCUGUGAUUAUUAAUGAUUAUACCACUGGACUGUAUGGUAUAUUUCAGAGGAACUCUGGCUUUUUCAUUACUGUUCACACCGGCAGGAUUGGAGCCUCUAUGAUAUUCACAUAAAUCAGUAUCCCAUACUGACUUUAGAGCAACUGGAGACAGGGACCCUGAAGGAUUUUUCUCAGUGAUUAGCUUUCCAUGGAGAAGUCAGCGGAGUGUGGGGGCCUGGGUGUUCCAGUUCUUAGUGGCUUGGGGUGGAGGCAUGGUGCUCAGCCCAACAACUCUCUGAGCAAUUUGCUUUUUUCAUCUGUGGAAAGAUAGGGUUGGACUUGGUGAACAUUGUAUCUCUUCUCAUCCUGUCUCUGCUCCUGCUGUAGACAUAUCCUCAUAUCCAGGGGCUUUGGGGGACUGUCACCCACAAGGUCAUCAGUGUGCCUAAGUUCACAUGAUUAGAAAAGGGUUGGCCUUAGAAAUAUUUAUUUAUUUAUUUACUUACUUACUUACUUUUUAGGGCUGCUCCCGCGGCAUAUGGAG